GAUGGAACAAUGUAGGCAAGGAAAGUCGGCAAAAUGGAUCCGUAACAUCGGGAAAAUAAUUGGCUUUGAGGGUUUGGCAUGGGGUCCCAGUCCCGAACCCACUGGGUGUCGGUGGACUGCUUGAGCGGAUCCCACAGAAAUAGCGGGUCGCCGUGGGCCAGCCGGGGGACGGAUUGGGAAUGGUUCUUUCGGGGGCCUUCGCCAGGAGUCAAACAACCAACUCAGAACUGGUAUAGACAAGGGGAAUUCGACUAUUUAAUUUUAACAAAGCAUUGCGAUGGUCCCAACAAAUGUUUACGCAAAGUUAUUUUUGUCCGGUGCUCUAAAUGUCAAAGUGACGAAAUUCAACUAUGCGGGGGUAAACAGCCGGAGUAACUAUGACUCUCUUAAGGUAGCCAAAUGCCUCGUCAUCUUAUUAGUGAUGCGUAUGCAUGUAUUAACAAGAUUCCCACUGUCCCUGUCUAAUAUACAGCGAAACCAUAGCCAAGGGAACAGGCUCGGCAGAAUCAGCGGAGAAAGAAGACGCUAUUGAGCUUGAGUCUAGUCCGACUUUGUGAAAUGACUUCAGAGGUGUAGUAUAAUUGGGAGUCGAAAGGCGAAAGUGAAAUACCAAUACUUUUAACGAUAUUUUACUUAUUCUGUGAAUCGGAAGCGGGGAACUACCCCUAUUUUUGCACCCACUACUCGCUUCGCGGGCCGAUUCGGGGGGAAGACAUUGUCAAGUGGGGAGUUUAGUUGGGGCGACACAUCUGUUAAAAGAUAACGCAGGUGUCCUAAGAUGAGCUCAACGAGAAUAGAAAAAUCAUGUGGAUUAGAAGGAUAAAAGCUCGUUUGAUUAUGAUUUCCAGUACGAAUACGAAUCGUUAAAGCGCGGCCUAACGAUAGAUUAGACCUUAGGAAUUCUAAGCUUGAGGUGUCAGAAAAGUUACCACAAGGAUAACUAGAUUGUGGCAGCCAAGCUAUAUACUGAAGUUUAUUUUUUAUCAUUCGAUGUCGGCACUUCCUAUCAUUGUGAAUCGAAAUUCACCAAGUGUUGGAUUGUUCACCCACCAAUAGGGAAUGUGAGCUGGGUUUAGACCAUCGUGAGACAGGUUAGAUUUAGCCUACUGAUGACAAUGUCGCAAUAGUAAUUUAACCUAGUAAGAGAGGAACCGUUGAUUCACAUAAUUGGUCAUCGCGCUUGGUUGAAAAGCCAGUGGCGCGAUGCUACCAUAUGUUGGAUUAUGGAUGAACGCCUCUAAGUUAGAAUCUAGGCAAGAAGCAACGCAUGCGCCCACCAUUCUCUUGCCGACCCGCAGUAGGGGCCAUUAGCCCCCAAAGGAUCGUUUUGUUGGCUAAGUCACAGCGACAGAAGCGGCGCGGUGACGGCCUUGAUGUACAAUUUCCAUUGAGCGGUGGGUAGAAUCAUUUGCAGAAGACAUAAAUACGUGACGGGGUAUUGUAAGUGGAAGAGUGGCCUUGAUGACACGAUCCACUGAGAUACAACCCUUUGUCACUCUAAUUC
rnacentral:ncRNA from 1 species